UCACUGUGAUGAUGACGCACUGAUUAGAUGCCCCAUGCAGCCCAUUCCAGUAAACCAUGGGGAUAAAAUGAGGCAUUUGUCUGAGAGAA